GUGGGGAAUAUUGGACAAUGGGGGGAACCCUGAUCCAGCCAUGCCGCGUGUGUGAAGAAGGCCUUUUGGUUGUAAAGCACUUUAAGCGAGGAGGAGGCUACCGAGAUUAAUACUCUUGGAUAGUGGACGUUACUCGCAGAAUAAGCACCGGCUAACUCUGUGCCAGCAGCCGCGGUAAUACAGAGGGUGCAAGCGUUAAUCGGAUUUACUGGGCGUAAAGCGCGCGUAGGUGGCCAAUUAAGUCAAAUAUGAAAUACCCGUGCUUAACUUGGGAAUUGCAUUCGAUACUGGUUGGCUAGAGUAUGGGAGAGGAUGGUAGAAUUCCAGGUGUAGCGGUGAAAUGCGUAGAGAUCUGGAGGAAUACCGAUGGCGAAGGCAGCCAUCUGGCCUAAUACUGACACUGAGGUGCGAAAGCAUGGGGAGCAAACAGGAUUAGAUACCCCGGUAGUCC
rnacentral:rRNA from 1 species